rnacentral:lncRNA from 1 species
UUUUUUGAAGUGGCUGAUGCAUUUAAAUAACUGCCCUACGAUUCAAUGGUUUAUCCAAAACUAUAUUCCAGUGAAGAAAUGAGACUUUAUUUGAGCCUAGGCAUAGGCAUCCCACUGUUGUCUUUAAAAAGUAUAUUCACAUAAAAUUUAUUAUAUUGCUCAAAGAUAUUCAUGUUGAUAAGUAACACUAUUCUCUUAUUUAUUAUAGACUAAAGAAAUGUAGGCUAAUAGAGUGAGUUUUUUUAAUGCUUGACCACCUCUAAUUACAUGAACAACUUACCUUGGUGGACAACAAAGUUUGAAAGUCAAGCAUGAACAAUAAAGCAGGGCUGAUUUAAAGUAAAAGCCUGUGCAUGUAGGAAUCCUAGUAAACAUGUGAUCAGGUGCUGGAUAUGUCUACUGAAGCAUGACUUAGGAGCUGGCUAUGUACUGGGAUGUAUCAGCAGACAGAACCAUCUCAAUUAAUCUUGCAGGACAGAUUAAGCAUUUCUGAAGCACUGAAUGCUCAGCCUAAUUUUUUAGGUGGAAGGUAGAUCAAAAUCAGAGAGAACAUUUUUUUAGCAAUUGAAAAGCAUUUUAGUAGGCAAUUAAUUGCAUUUCUUAAAUAAUAGUCAAGGAAUGUAUAUUAAAUGUAUAGUACUGUAUUGUAUAUUCUAUACGAAAGUUCUAUAUUGGGAUAAGCCAUCCAUACCAACAGCCAGUGGAUUUAUACCAUGAUAUAACGGGCAUAAUAAAAGUGAACACUGUGUGUUAUAUGGAUUUAUGUACUGCACAAACACUGCUGUAUCAAUCAAAACUGACCUAAGAUUAUGGCCUGCAAGAAUAUAAUUGUAAUCUUGAAAGUAACUUGUGAUUUCUGAACAUAUAGUAUCAUAGACAUUGAAGAUUGCCAUGCAUGAAAAGGAACAGAAGAUUUUUGAACCAUGAUAGUACCAGUCAUGGCCACUGAAGAUUUUGAUAUACAUCAAGGAUUCCAAAUAUAAUUUUGAAUGAAAUUUUGCAAGAACCAUGGAAUUUGACAUAAAUUUUAGCCAAGAACAUUAACUGUCACUAAAAGUAUGUUAUGACAUCAAAAGGAACAGAAGAUUUGAACCAUGCCAUUUGUAUGGUGUCAGUCAUGGCCAAAUUGUACCUCCAUGGAAGGACCAAUGAUUUUGAUAUACAUCAAGAAUUCAAAAUAUAACUUGCAGUGAUUUUUUUUGCAAGAACCAUGGAAUUUGACAUAUCAAUUUAGCCAAGAACAUUAACUGUCACUAAAAGUAUGUAAUGACAUUAAGAAACAGUAGAUAUGAACCAUGCCAUUGUAUAGUGCCAGCCAUUUUGAUAUACAAUAAGGAUACCAAAUAUAAUUUGCAAUGAAUUUUGAAAGAACCAUGGAAUUUGACAUCAAUUUUAGCCAAGGACAUUAAGGAAGUAUUUUUAGUGUUAAUUUAUAUACUGUAACGAAGACUUACUGUAUUUUAACCAAAGGAAGUGGCAAGAUCAUGUGAUUUAGGAUUGAAUUAUUACAAUAAGAAUGUGCACAUAACAAUGGGCAGUGAAACAAAAAUGGAAACAACUUUUACAAUUCUAUUAGUCUUAGAAUAUUCUCUCGGAAGGCAUAAAAACAACCAGUAAGGAUUCCCAAGAAAACAGUGAUCAAGGAGUAGAAUUUGUCUGGAAUUCACAGAUGACAUAUCAGAAUCUAUUGCAACUCCCAAGAAAAUGGGAGUUAAGGACUGGUAUUGAAUAUAUGGCAGUAAGACUUGCUGAUAACUGUGUAUGACAAUUAUCUGAACCAGGGAUAUGGUAGCCUACAUAACUUGACCUAUGGAGACAUACAUUUGUACUGUACAGUGAAUUAUAAUCAGUCAUUGAUUUGUUUUGAUGAGCAUGAUAUCAAUUGUGGUGUAAUAAAUGGUAUUUGUCAUUACAGUAUACAAUAUGUAUGGUUACAUUAACAUGUUUGUUUUCCUGAAUAAGAAAAAAUAAAAAUAAUUAUAAGAAUGUAACACCACUGAUGUACUGUAUAUUGCAGCUAAUGGUACUGCUUAGACUUAAUUAAAAACAAAACAAUGCCAUCAUAUUGUAGCCGUAGGCCUACACUGUCGUAAAUUCUGAUUGGUGUUAUUUCAUAUCACAUAGUUAUGUCAGAGCUAGCUCAAUUCAACAAAAAUCACCUUUUUACUCGUGUUAAUUUUACUUUCUCAUUGGUGUCUGACUGGUGUUAUUUCAAACCACAUAGUUAUGUCGAAGUUAGCUUUAUUAAAAGGUGAAAAGUA